rnacentral:rRNA from 1 species
UUGGUGAGGUAGUGGCUCACCAAGGCGACGACGGGUAGCCGGCCUGAGAGGGCGACCGGCCACACUGGGACUGAGACACGGCCCAGACUCCUACGGGAGGCAGCAGUGGGGAAUAUUGCACAAUGGGCGAAAGCCUGAUGCAGCGACGCCGCGUGAGGGAUGACGGCCUUCGGGUUGUAAACCUCUUUCAGCAGGGAAGAAGCGAAAGUGACGGUACCUGCAGAAGAAGCGCCGGCUAACUACGUGCCAGCAGCCGCGGUGAUACGUAGGGCGCAAGCGUUGUCCGGAAUUAUUGGGCGUAAAGAGCUCGUAGGCGGCUUGUCACGUCGGGUGUGAAAGCCCGGGGCUUAACCCCGGGUCUGCAUUCGAUACGGGCUAGCUAGAGUGUGGUAGGGGAGAUCGGAAUUCCUGGUGUAGCGGUGAAAUGCGCAGAUAUCAGGAGGAACACCGGUGGCGAAGGCGGAUCUCUGGGCCAUUACUGACGCUGAGGAGCGAAAGCGUGGGGAGCGAACAGGAUUAGAUACCCUGGUAGUCCACGCCGUAAACGGUGGGAACUAGGUGUUGGCGACAUUCCACGUCGUCGGUGCCGCAGCUAACGCAUUAAGUUCCCCGCCUGGGGAGUACGG